UAUGGUCUGAUCUAUCUCCAGUAUUUUCCCUCUUAGAUUUUAAGGUCCUUGAGGGAUUGCAUCAUGUCUGCAGUGCUCUCUGCUAUGUCUUCAGCCAACUGCUAGCACAAGGUUCUGGCUCUGUCACCCAGGCUGGAGUUCAGUGGUGCGAACUUGGCUCACUGCAUCCUCAACCUCCUGGGCUCAAGUGAUCCUCCCACCUCAGCCUACCAAGUAGCUAGGACUACAGGUUGGAGUGCAGUGUCAUGAUCAUACCACACCACAGCCUUGAACUCCUGGGCUCAAACGAUCCUCCCACCUCACCCUCCUGAGUAGCUGGGACUACGGGCAUUACAUUUUAAAUUGAACUGCAAGAGAAACUGGGACAUUCAGAAAGUUGAACAAGAAUAAGGAAUUUCUCCUAGCAUCAUCUAACUUGAACCUGCACUGUCCCCGACAGUCUAGACUUGAAUUUCAUGCUGAGAGAUGAAAAGAGGCAUUUAUGGAGAGAAGAUGAAAUUCCAGUAUGAAAGGCACUCUGUACUAGAAGGAAAGGCAACAUCCUAAGCUUCAAAGAUAAGAGGUAGAGUACUGUACAGACCUUGCUAAAAUUUAUUUUUUAAGCCUCCCCACAUAAUUUAGUCAUACAAUGUCAAUUUAAUUCUUGGACCCAGCAGAGACCCUAACAGAAUGGAGAUGUAAUUUUUCUACCCCUAGAGUAGAGCACGGUACCGUGUAUACUACGUAAUAUUAAUAUAAUAUAUAGUUCAUACUCUGUAUUGUGUCUACUAUAGUAUGUUAAUUUGGAUGUAUACUAUUUAUGUAGUAUAUAGUUGAUUCAAAUAAAUACUGUUUAAUGAUUCCCUUAUUUUACUUAAGAAUAUAUUGUGUGUCCCAAAGUCCUGGAAUUACAGGUAUGAGCCACUGCGGAUCACCUGAGGUCAGGAGUUCAAGACCAGCCUGGCCAACAUGGCAAAACCCCGUUUCUACUAAAAAAUAAAAAAAAUUGGCCAAGCAUGGUGGCGUGCGCCUGUAGUCCCAGCUACUUGGGAGGCUAAGGCGUGAGAAUCGUUUGAACCCCGGGCGGCGAAGGUUGCAGUAAGCCGAGAUGGUGACACUGCACUCCAGCCUG